rnacentral:rRNA from 1 species
CCUACGGGAGGCAGCAGUGGGGAAUCUUGCACAAUGGAGGAAACUCUGAUGCAGCGAUGCCGCGUGAGUGAAGAAGGCCUUUGGGUUGUAAAGCUCUUUUGUAGGGGAAGAUAAUGACUGUACCCUAAGAAUAAGGUCCGGCUAACUUCGUGCCAGCAGCCGCGGUAAUACGAAGGGACCUAGCGUAGUUCGGAAUUACUGGGCGUAAAGCGCGCGUAGGCCGUUGAGUUAGUUAAUUGUGAAAUCCCAAAGCUUAACUUUGGAACUGCAAUUAAAACUGCUCGACUAGAGUUUGGUAGAGGAAAGCGGAAUACAUAGUGUAGAGGUGAAAUUCGUAGAUAUUAUGUAGAACACCAGUUGCGAAGGCGGCUUUCUGGAUCAACACUGACGCUGAGGCGCGAAAGUAUGGGUAGCAAAGAGGAUUAGAUACCCUCGUAGUCCAUACCAUAAACGAUGAUUGCUAGAUGUUGGAAAUUUAUUUUCAGUAUCGCAGCUAACGCAUUAAGCAAUCCGCCUGGGGAGUACGACCGCAAGGUUAAAACUCAAAUGAAUUGACGG